rnacentral:rRNA from 1 species
UGGGGAAUAUUGCACAAUGGGCGCAAGCCUGAUGCAGCCAUGCCGCGUGUAUGAAGAAGGCCUUCGGGUUGUAAAGUACUUUCAGCGGGGAGGAAGGGAGUACAGUUAAUACCUUUGCUCAUUGACGUUACCCGCAGAAGAAGCACCGUCUAACUCCGUGCCAGCAGCCGCGGUAAUACGGAGGGUGCAAGCGUUAAUCGGAAUUACUGGGCGUAAAGCGCACGCAGGCGGUUUGUUAAGUCAGAUGUGAAAUCCUCGGGCUCAACCUGGGAACUGCAUCUGAUACUGGCAAGCUUGAGUCUCGUAGAGGGGGGUAGAAUUCCAGGUGUAGCGGUGAAAGGCGUAGAGAUCUGGAGGAAUACCGGUGGCGAAGGCGGCCCCCUGGACGAAGACUGACGCUCAGGUGCGAAAGCGUGGGGAGCAAACAGG